GUGCUUGCUUUGGCAGGACAUAUACUAAAAUUGGGAUGAUACGAAGGAGAUUAGUGUGGCCACUGCACAAGUAUAAUAUGCAAACUCAUGAAGCAUUCAUUAUUUUG